ACUGACACAUCGACUGACCGACUGACAGAGAGACCUACAGACCGACUGACAGACAGACCGACCCACAGACUGCCAGACCUGACCGCCUGACAGACCAACUGAUCAACCAUCUGAUGGACAGACUGAUCAACAGACCAACUAACACCCGACUGAGCGACAGACCCACUGACCGACAGACCGACUGACCAACCACUGCCCCCGCCACAGGCACAGCCCAGGCAGUAGCCACCAACUGUUGGACACUGGCCAUCACCACCAACCACCGGCCACUGACCACCAGCCAUCACCACUGGCCAUCAGCCACUGGCCACCGCCAUAAGCCACCAGCUGUCCCCACUGGCCACCAGUCCCAAACCAGAGUGUGGCCACCACUUUGCAUAGUCCUUCCACCAGCUUGCAGGGCAGUCAAAAGAACUGCCCACUGCAGUAUGAAACAGCAGGUGCACUUGCAGGAGCAAGCUGUGGCCAGCCCGCCCUGCACCGGGCCAGACUCUGGUUUGCUGACGCUGUAAAUCCGUGCAGUUGCCGUGUGGGUCCGUGACACGCUCCUUGGACUGACCUCUCCUCUUCACCGUGGCAGUUCCCGGGGCCGGGCUGUGCAAGAGCCGGUGCCGCCGCCCUCGCAGCGCAUGGCCAAGUUUGAGCCAUCGGCCCCUUUGUGGCACGAACAAAGUCGGGGCUGUGGAUAACAAAACCCAGCACAUCUCGGCGCUGAAGGCGACAAACCCCGAGCUGCCCCACACCACCGAGCUGGCCACGGACCAAACUACAACAACGAAGUGGAUUUGAUUUCAAGCAGCAAAUAGAUCCUAAGGAAAUACUCAACUCCUGGCUUUGUUUUCAUUUUAUCAACAAAUGGUGCCACUGGCAGCACCUCUGCUGUGCGACACCAACGGCCUGAGCCCGUGCGGUUCGGCAGGCGCAGGAACGGCCCCAUGCCAGGGAACAAGACCCCUGCACCAGAACCAACCUGGUUUGCAAAUGUAGCUGAAUAAAUUAUAUAAAUUCUGAUGA